rnacentral:tRNA from 1 species
CCGGUAGCUCAGUUGGUUAGAGCGCCAGCCUGUCACGCUGGAGGUCGACGGUUCGAGCCCGUUCC